AUUGAACGCUGGCGGCAUGCCUUACACAUGCAGGUCGAACGGUAACAGGUUAAGCUGACGAGUGGCGAACGGGUGAGUAAUGUAUCGGAACGUGCCCAGUCGUGGGGGAUAACUGCUCGAAAGAGCAGCUAAUACCGCAUACGACCUGAGGGUGAAAGCGGGGGAUCGCAAGACCUCGCGCGAUUGGAGCGGCCGAUAUCAGAUUAGGUAGUUGGUGAGGUAAAGGCUCACCAAGCCGACGAUCUGUAGCUGGUCUGAGAGGACGACCAGCCACACUGGGACUGAGACACGGCCCAGACUCCUACGGGAGGCAGCAGUGGGGAAUUUUGGACAAUGGGCGCAAGCCUGAUCCAGCCAUGCCGCGUGCGGGAAGAAGGCCUUCGGGUUGUAAACCGCUUUUGUCAGGGAAGAAAAGGUUCUGGCUAAUACCUGGGACUCAUGACGGUACCUGAAGAAUAAGCACCGGCUAACUACGUG
rnacentral:rRNA from 1 species